UAUAUGUAUGCAUUUUGGGCAGCACCUUUGAAGGACAGCUGCCCAAGGGAUAAACAUCACUUGUUUGACUAUAUAUUUUCACCCCUCCUUUAGUAAUUUCGUUUUCCUCAAGCCUUAGAACCUUAGAAACAUAUCUAAACAGAGUGUUCUUCAAAAUCAUAAGAAAAACUUGGCCCUUUUGGCUGGAAUUCGAGAACACACACUUGUUGGUAAGUGUCGAAAUUUGUUUCUGAGCUGGGUAGUGUUUGGUAUUUUAUGCAUAUCUCUCGCUCUAAAACUUAGUUUACAGUGAGUAAAUAUUAUUUGGAAAGCUAAUUCGUAGACCUACAACUCUUAUGUUUAUGUCAAACUCUGAUUCAGCUGUUAUAGACUCGAAAUAUGGGACGCAACAUAGAACAAGUUCUGUCCAGAUUUUGGAAUUACAAAUUCUGUAUAAACAGUUGUUAGCGUUUUUGACUAUAUCUUGUUGUACAAAAUACAUUUUGCGGUGAUUCUUGUUUGUUUGCAACCCUAAAGAUGUAUCUACAUAUUUCAUGAAGGUUAUAAAGUCUAGUUUUGUUGUUUUCUGUUUCAAAUCUAAGUUGCGACAUGAGGUACUAGGCUGGCCAGAAUCACUAUUUUGGGAGCAUAGUUGUAUUUGUACAUGUUAGGCUUACUUGUGUGAUGAUCCUAUUUUACGUCAACAUUACUGAGCUAAUAGAAGUUUUACGUCAACAUUAUUGAGCUAAUAGAAGUUAAAGAAGUUAUUUAAUUGUAUAUUUAAGGUUGUGUAUGGUGAACAAGUUGAGGACCUUGAAACGUUGGUUGGUCUACGGUCUGAACUCGCGAAGUUGUGUUGGACUGUUUCUUUGCUAAAGCACUGAGAUUUGUGUAUAAACUUGUACUUGCACUCUUUUAACUGCGGGAAUAUUUGAAAUUUGAUCUUGGUACCUUGGCUACCUCUUGUCACUUUGCAUUGUCAUGUUGGUAUCCUUUAAGACGUUAAAGACGUUCAUGUAACUCGUCCACUUGUACAGACUGUUUGAUCACCUAGCACUCUUGUUGGGACCUUGUCCUUCUUGUGGUUGUGACUUUGUCACUCUUGGCAUGCCUCUUGAUUCAGAUCAGUUGCCAUCUUGACUCUGGAUUUUUAGUCCGUCUUAUGAAUGGAAGUUGUCCAUUUUCAGUACGAAUUAGAAAGCCAUUUUUAAUAUGGUUCUUGGUUCUCUUGAUUAUUGGGCUUUGACCCUUCUUGAUACAGGGCGUCGACCCUUUUUGAUACUUGCUUGUGCUUGGUGUGACGACAUUAUGUAUAUAUUAGGCGAGCCUUGUUAUUGAAUCUCUUGGAAAUUGGUGCUAUGAGCAUUCUUGACACUGGGAUCUUUAAAUAUAGAACUUGAUGCCCUUCAUGUGAACUCUAGUUACUUGAUAAGUUCUACACCGUGUACGUAGUAGUAUGGUAUGUUAUCUACAAUGUUAUCUACAUAUGGCACGAGUAGCCUUCGAAGGUGCUAAUGUGAGUUCUCUAAGUCUAUAUGACUAAAGUGAGAAGUACCCUAAAUGCAUGAAUGUGUCCUAAAUGACUUUAAAGAAGAAUGUUGACUUAUUGUAUAAAUGAUUUGUUAAAUGAAUCGCAUAUAUUAAUGAAGUGAGUUACUUAGUAUGUUACCUUGAAGCAUGAUGGUUCUUGUCUAUAGUAGCCUUGAGGAACACUUAGGUUUGUAUGAAGAGGUUGUAUGGGCGGCCACUUCAUGCCUCACUCAAGUGUGUCUUAGGGUAACUUUAGAUAAGGGUCCUUGGAUGAAGAAAUGAGUUACGUGGUGAAAAUGUUGAGUACGUCUAUAAUGUGGUUAAUGUCUUAUAUGUUGGUUAUGUUCUAAUUUGUCAAUGUUCGUGAAGUUUUACUAAAAUGGCAUAAGGCAUGACUUUCAACCAAAUGUCCUUUUUAGCAUGUUUUUGCAUGGUUUCCAUACUUUGUACUUAAUUGUACUAACCACUUUCUUUCCCUUUUGACUAAAGUGUAGAGAUUUGGAGAUGUUGAUAUUCCAUGGUUGAUGGAUAGGUUUCUAAGGUG
rnacentral:lncRNA from 1 species